AUUCACAAUAAAGUGUUGUGUAGAAAUCUGAUUUUCAAUUCAAUAUUUUAAUCCCAGAGUUGAGUUUGCAUUGAAGUGUAUUAUAUGAAUAUCAAGAUGUAUUUUUUUGUUCACUUACAGUGGUUUUUACAACACUGCUAGAAUUUAUUACAAAUAUGUUUUUUCAUAAGGAUUUUAAAAGUGCUUGAUCGUUUAUGAACUUUAAUUUAAUUGUAAGUAUGGCCAGUGAUAGUUGUACUUUUUUUCAACUUCAAUGGUUGAGUGAAUCAGUUGUAUUUCUUGUAGUGAUGGAUCAGUUGUUUUUUUUAGUGAUGAAUCAGUUGUAUUUUUUUUAGUGAAUUUGGUUACACAACAAUCAAGAGCUUUUGUGUCUUAAGGAGUGCAGACUGUUUUUUCAUAAUAAAAAAAAAACCAUGUACAAACUUACAUUAGGUGAAAUGCCUUUCAUAAAAAAACAUUUACAACAGGUGAAACAUAGACAAAAUAGAUCUAAGUGUUGAAUUCCCAUAUCAUUUGCCUUUAACUCUUAAUUACUUCUUUAGGUUGUAAUGCCUUGAAAGUUCUUAUUUUUCAGCAUGAUGAAUAAGUCUUCCAACUUCUUUGUAAGCUCUUGAUUCCUUCUUUAGGUUCUAAUGCCUUUGACACUUGUCAUAGUACUUGCAAUUGAUAGCACUGGAUAAGUGCUACCUAUUCUAAUAGGUCCAUCACACGCAAAAAAUCAAUAACACGAUGUGUCUGCAUUUGUCAUUUUCUCUUGUUUCAUAGCAACUAUUUUUUACUUUUUAAGUUGCCUAGUUGAAGAGAACUGGUCAAGUAGGCAUCUUUUUCCACUGUCUGAAUCUUCAGAAUCUGCAUCCCUUGAAUUCUUUUGAGUUGCAACCACUGGACUAUUCACUUCAUCUUCUUUGGAGCAAUCCUGAAAAUUCAAACAUAUUAGUGAAUAGACUAAUAUUAUAAGCAGGUACAUAGAAAUACCUUCCCGCAUGAAUUGUAACACUAGUAAAAAGUAAGUUAAUUUACUGCUUGCCAUUUUUUUUAUUCUUAUGUGUUAAGAUUCAAUACCUUGCAUUUAUACUAUCAACAUAAUCAAUAGUACUAACCUUUUGUACUUGAAAUAGGUCAGAUAGGACAGUUACAACCACAAAACCAUUUUUAAAAUCACCAAAUCCAGUAGACUGCGAUAGAAUAGUGGUAGUACUGACACUACACGCAUGACUCUUCCACAGAGACAACCUAGAUGAAAAGUAAAAAUCCAAAUAAGUAGUAGAAAAUGUACUUUUAAAAAAUAUAGAUUAGAGAACUGAUUGCAUUAGAAGGCCAAUAGAAUAUUUAGUUGUCUUCUGCAGAGACAACUUAGCACUCCAUAGUUGAAUCACAACAAUGAUUGGUUCUUUAAUAUCCUGAUUGUAAAACUGAUGUAUGGCAGCAAUAGAAAACCCUUCCCAUCACAUAUUUAGUAAUAGAAAAUAUAAUUGUCAAAAACCAUUUAAAGUUCUAUUCUGAGAAGAUAUUUGCAGAUUUUCUUACCGAAAAGCUCCUUGUCGUUCACAUCAUCAGGAUCUCUUCAUCCACCCAGUUCUGGUACUUCAUAGGUCGUUUGGUGUGCAGUGGACUGAUAGCCAUAAUUGAUACAUAGAGAAGGCAUUUUUUUGUUUUUCUUGCAGAGUAUUGCCUAUAUGAUUCAGAACCUGAGGUUAAAUAGUUGAUCUCCAUCUACCUCUUUAUAUAGGUAGGAAUUCGAACAGGACUCAACCUAGAGAAAUGAAGAGUCCUCAUUGGAAUAAUGUUAUUAAUGAUUAUGUUGUUUCAAUUUAAAAGCCUUUAUUUAAAUUUUAUUUAGAUCCGUUUGUAAUAUAUAAUGCUAUUUGCGUAUA